AUUAAAGUCAUGUUACGUCGGGACGUCAUCCAUGCAACAUUGAAGUGUGAAGUCUUUCUAAUUACGUAUUUUUACAGUCUAAUACUUCAACAGUUUAACA